UACGGAGGAUCCAAGCGUUAUCCGGAUUUAUUAGGUUUAAAGGGUGCGUAGGCGGAAUUAUAAGUCAGUGGUGAAAUCCUGCAGCUUAACUGCAGCACGGCCAUUGAUACUGUCGUUCUUGAGUACGGUUGAGGUAGGCGGAAUGUGUAGUGUAGCGGUGAAAUGCUUAGAUAUUACACAGAACACCGAUUGCGUAGGCAGCUUACUAAACCGUUACUGACGCUGAGGCACGAAAGCGUGGGGAUCGAACAGG
rnacentral:rRNA from 1 species